AUAAUGAUGUUGGAGGAGAGAGAUGAUGAAUGGAGGAAGGCAAGGAAGCGUAAAGUGAGGUGUCAUUCGCUAUUCAACAGAUCAUCUUACUAUUAUAAACCUAACCAUUAUUUAACUGAUUAUUACUAUUUUAAAUGAGUUUGUUUGUUAGUUCACUCGACAGAACAAAAAUACCAGAAUACGCGUUAUUGUAUUAUCUAGUAAUAAAUGUUUUUUGGACAAAAUCUAUACUAUAUUAAAAGGGUUAUAUGAGGAGUAGAGAGUGUGUCCAGGUCAGAUUAAAAAAUCAGCCAAUUCGAGAACUUUCUGUAGCCAUGUCAUCAUCUCCUUAAACCUACGCGACUCUGUCUUUUGAGCUUCAUCUCAUCUGAAAAUAGAAGCAAUUAUUGUCUUCUCCGAUCUAUUACAAUAAGAUAUACUCUUCUCCCUUCUCAGAAAAGGAAGCGACCUCUCCCCUAGAUCUAGAAAUCAUCAUAUAUUAUUUGGAUCAUGUAUUUGCCCUUCAAAUCAGUUAUUCUUCUGAGUAUCAUUCUCUUUUUCUCUGUAAUCUCCUUCGAUAAGUAGUCGGGAAGAGGGAUAUGAUUUCUGGAUUGAAUUCAGUGAUUACUUUGAGUGUCUCCACCAAAGAGGUAUCCUACUACUUCUUUAGUCUCCUCUUUCCUGGUCUUCUUUUAAUUGAAGAUUGAUUUCGUGGUGAUUGUUAGGUUAUGGUGCAAGCCACUGUUUCUGAUUUAAGAAAACGCUAGACGAGACUGAUGAAUCAUGUCUAGAUCACGGUAACUCAAAAUUCUGUGUUGGAUGUGGCAAGGUUUGUGUCUUGACAAUUCAAAAUUCUCACUUUAAUAGAAAACGUGGAGGAGUCGGAGAGGUCAAAGUUCACAUUGUUAUGUGGCUCAGAUCUCUUCUCUUCCUGAUCCUAUACACACGAAAGAUGUGAUUGUUGAGACUGAGACCGAGCUAUAGAAAAUUUGAGGUUAGGUCUUUAGAGAAAUGUGUUACACUGUCCCAUAUCCCAUUGUCUCACUUGAAGGCAGUCCGGUGCAGGUAGGUGGUACAGAUGCGACUCCUCUGUUUUUGGAGUCUAGGAAUGUCAAUAAAAUAAAGAGGCCAGUUUAUGGGGGUUGAUAUGCUGCUGCUUUAUUCCAAGGUAAUCUGACCACCGCUUUAAAAAUCGAAUGUUUCAUAAUUUCAUUACCUAUUUUGGACUCCUUUGUAUAAAAAGAGGUCACUCUAACUUGAACUAGAUAGGGACGACACAUGCUCUAUGCGGCGGAGCAGUUAGUGCUCGACAUCUGCAACCCCGAACUCAGGGAGAAUGCUCUUCACGAGUUUUCUAAGGUCGUUCAUUAUCUCUCUCUAUGCAGUUAAUUAAACUUCUCUUGCUUAGUGUUGCCUAUGAAUUCUGAUUGUCUUGGUUUUUGUAUUGACAAUCAAUUUUUUUUACUAGGUUUUGGUUUGUUUUGCUCUGUUUUUCUCGGUAAAUCUAUUGUUAAUCUAGGACAAGCUUUCAGAUUUGUAGGAUGAUAUCGUUGAAACUCUAGACAAUUAAAAAGUUAAAUGGUUUUGAUGUUCUGUAAUAAUAUAACAUGUGGUCGUGUGUUUUUAAUUUACUAUCAUAUUUUUGAGAAGAGAGAUCUUUCAUGAUUUGACUCUCCUGUUGUGGCCCUCUGUUGGUACCAUUCCUGCUCUUCCACAUGUACUCUUCGUCCAUUAAAGCUGAGUGGAACCUUCGCAUGGUGAAAUAAAGUCGAACUAUCACAAUUACACUUCAGCGGUUGGGAGUGGGAAGAAGGCGAUGCAAGAAGUUAUCUUGAACUGGUGUAAUCAAAUCUCAAAAAUUCAUAACAUAUACCAUCCCAAGAACUGGGAUUUACAUCAAUCUCAAAAGUUCUUAGCAUCUUUUUGAACUUUUUGAGAAGGAUAAUUUAACUUGGACAAGGCAUUGAUGAUUGCACAUCAAUGGAGGAAAGCUCAAGAAUUACUGGUCAGUCACUUUUCACUUCAAUAUCUUAAACAGAGGAGGAAUAUAUGCGAAUGAAAACCUAUGCUCUCAGUACUCAUCCGCUGUAUCAUCCUCUCUUGAUGUUGCUAACACCAGCCUUCUUACUUCCGUUAAUCAUUCGCUGAACCCAGUAAUGAUGCAUGUUCUAAGAUCAACUCCAUGAUUAUCCCCUGCUGUGAAGACUUGAUAGAACCCAAGAGUGAUCACAGUCACAAUAUUGUAGAGAUCACAAACAACACAGGGAAAUAUCUUCUUGAUGAAAACUUAGUGGAUAAACCUUCGUGUUCAACGCCCAGGAAAAGACCAAACGACAUACCAAGCAUUGAGUCCAUUGAGGUACUUAGAAUUCCAGUAUCUGAGACUUACUGAGAGCGUUUCAAGAUGGGAAACUGUUGAUGCAGGCCAAUGGUGAUGCAAAGGAGCAGCAACACCUUAUACGUGCUUUCUCUGUCUAUGCAGCAGCUGUGUCGGACUCAAGAUCUCCUCUCUCUGCUGUUAACUGAUACCCAAAGAGGAUUAGUCAUAAAUAAGCCAAGAAAAGAAGGUUAUUAACUUAUUAUUGUGUCACACUCUACAGAAAGAGUAUUGUUGCAUACAUGUCAACUUAUUUUCUUCAUGGAACUGGUUUGAGGAUUUUUACAAAAAAAAUUUCUUAGUAUUCUUUAUUUGUUUAGUUAAGAUUUGUAUUGUUUAUUAGUUGGAACAAAAUAAUUUUUUUUUAUCUUCUGAAUCAGUAUAUUAUGAGUCCUGUUAGUUUUAAUUACAAGCAAUUCUAUUAGGUUUACGGUGUUGGAUACGUCAUGAGCUUGAGAUUAGCGAUUUCUAAUGGUAUAGUUCCAGUUAAAAAUUGUUGCUGAGUUCAAGGUAAUUUAAACGGGGCAAGAUGGAUUCUGAAUCUGGUAAUGGACCAGUAUAUUGGUUUCCUCUAACCGAAAUCGUUUUUAUGUUGGUAAGUAUGCCUGUGUUGGCCGGACAAGGACCAUGGAGACGGAUACCACUGAGGCUAAAGGACUGCAGAUUUGGCUAUGGCGAAAUAAAUGGUUGGAAAGGUCCGGUCAUGUUUUUAAGAUUGAUAAAGGUGAGCAUUUCUAAAUACUGGACUUUUGCCAGCGACAGGGAGAUAAUGCCAGUAAGAACGAAUAUGGGAUUAACCGAAUCUAUGUGGACAGUGUGUUCGACAACUCUGUGAUCACCCUUAUAGCAACAAAAACGUCCCACAAGCAAUAAUCAGUACCUUUCUUUCAGUUACUUAAAACUACUAAAGAGUCUUGGGUUAUACUAUAUUGGAAAGCGAAAAGACCGCCUCAUCAUCGGGAUGCGACGCAGCAGCUCCCUUGGAUUUAGAUAUGGACAAAAGAUAGUGGCGCUAAGAUGACGAGAUGGAAAGAACAAGAGUUCAUGGUGUUGUUGUUUUAAAUAUAACUAAUGAUGUGAACAAAUAUUUGACAUGCGUAAAAGGAAAAUACGAAGAGAGAGAUGCAACAAGGUUUAAUCUUUUUUUUUUCCCGUCAAAGAUUGAUUUUAUAGAUAUGCAACAACUGAUACAAGACCAACAAAGACCAACGAACACAUUAUUAAUUCGUGGUUAGCUAAGCCGACGGAUAAAGAAAUAUCCUCGGAAACGAGAUCCCACGCAGGGGAAGCAAAUGCCCAAACGAAACCAACAUUAAAGGGCGAGUACAAACUACAUACUUAAGCUAAGCAACUAGGUUUCAAGCUAGCGGUAAUACUCUCCGACAAACAGGUAUGGCAGGCAUCAAGAGAACCUAUGAGACUGUUUAGCGGGAUUGCCCUCGGCCAAACCACCGCAAAAUCACUUUCUCCUAGAACAACGAGGACACUCCUCAAGAACCAAGCAACACAAACUCCAUAGACCGGCAAGCGAGAACCUCUUUCGAUUCAAUCACCAACUCCCGGAAACGGCUUAGUCGAACGCGACUGUUGAACGCCUAGGUAUGAAGCCACACAACAAAUCUCCACGAGAUCUGAACAAACAACUAGGAGCCAAACCCACCAAUCCAUAAACAACACGCACAGGCCACAAAUGGCAGAAGGACGGAU